CCGCUGAACUUAAGCAUAUCAAUAAGCGGAGAA
rnacentral:rRNA from 1 species